AUGAGGAAAGGCCAGAGAAGCUUCCAGAGAGGUGAGGAAACACCUCCGACCAGCUGGAACAUGAGGCCAAGGGAGGAGAGCAGGGAGGAGGAGGACCUUCAGAGACAGAGGCCAAGGGGAAGCACGCAAAGCCCCAGAGACACGUGUGAGGUAGCUGAGGCCCAGAGAAGGUGAACAGCUUGCCCAAGGCCACACAGCUCUUCAGCAGAGAAAAGGAAAGCUCAGUCUGUUGACCUCCAGAGUUCUCAUUUUCUGUCCAGAAUGCAGAAGACCCAGAGAUCCUGAGGAGUGUGAGGUGCAGGGCUGCCGGCUGGCCACCAUUGUGCUGUCGCUUUAUGGAAUCUGUUGGGAAGGGUGCCUGGAGGAAGCUGUGAGUGCUGGGCAACUCCCUCACUAACAGUGAAAGUCUGUGAGCUUACACUCAACCAAGCCCCAGGCUCCUGCUCCAGGGCCGUGUUCCCAUCCAACACACAAAAUAUGGGCACUUCGGGCAUCGUGAGACUAUAAGCAGGAUCUUAGACCUCUUCCUAUUUUCUCUGACUUAUUUUGAAGCAUUUUUUUUGGCCCAAUUAAAAAAAAAAUCUUGGCUUCAA